GACGAACGCUGGCGGCGUGCUUAACACAUGCAAGUCGAACGGAAAGGCCCUGCUUUUGUGGGGUGCUCGAGUGGCGAACGGGUGAGUAACACGUGAGUAACCUGCCCUUGACUUUGGGAUAACUUCAGGAAACUGGGGCUAAUACCGGAUAGGAGCUCCUGCUGCAUGGUGGGGGUUGGAAAGUUUCGGCGGUUGGGGAUGGACUGGCGGCUUAUCAGCUUGUUGGUGGGGUAGUGGCUUACCAAGGUUUUGACGGGUAGCCGACCUGAGAGGGUGACCGGCGACAAUAGGACUGAGGUACGGAGCAGACGCGUACGGGAGGCAGCAGUGGAAAGUAUUGCACAGUGGGGCGGAGCCUGAUGCGGCAACGCCGCGUGCGGAAUGACGGCCUUCGGGUUGUAAACCGCUUUCGCCUGUGACGAAGCGGGAGUGACGGUAAUGGAUAAAGAAGCACCGGCUAACUACGUG
rnacentral:rRNA from 1 species